CCUACGGGUGGCAGCAGUGAGGAAUAUUGGUCAAUGGGCGCGAGCCUGAACCAGCCAAGCCGCGUGAGGGAAGACGGUCCUAUGGUUUGUAAACCUCUUUUGUCGGGGAGCUAAAGACGCCACGCGUGGCGUUCCGAGAGUACCCGAAGAAAAAGCAUCGGCUAACGCCGUGCCAGCAGCCGCGGUAAUACGGAGGAGGCGAGCGUUAUCCGGAUUUAUGGGGGUUAAAGGGUGCGCAGGCGGAAGAUCAAGUAAGCGUGAAAACCGAUAGGUUAAACAUCUUCUAGCAGUUGAAACUGGUUUUCUAGAGUGUGGGAGAGGUAUGCGGAAUGUGUGGUGUAGGGGUAAAAUGCGUAGAUAUCAAGCAGAAUUCCGAUUGCGAAGGCGGCCUACCGGCGCUCAACUGACGCUCAUGCGCGAAAGUGUGGGUAGCGAACAGGAUUAGAUACCCGGGUAGUC
rnacentral:rRNA from 1 species